GCCCGGGGCGUGCUGGGCGCCCGGGAAGGCGGCGGCGGCGGCGGCGCAGCCCGGCAGCUGGUGCAGCAGGUGGAAGUUGAGAACGCUGACCCGCUUGACGCUGACCCGCACCCGGCGCACGAUGCCCAGAUACCAGGUUCCAGAUGAUACCAUGAGGCCUGUCUGACUUCCCUGGGCAGACAACCCCACCAUUUGUCCUGGAGCCCCACCUCCCCAGACCCCUGCCCCACUGGGGAAAGAGGGAGAUAGUCUGGGAGUAUAGAUUGACCUGUCAACACCCAUGGUCAGUGGAGAAGCAGUUACAGAAGCCAGACCUUCCACCUUCUGCACCCCAUAAUGAUCCUGUGUCCAUACUCCCAGAGGGAUAAAGAACAGGGAAGCUAUCAAGGGAGGGGAUUGGACACACAGUUAUGGGGGUGGGAAUUGUGUGGAAAUGUAUCCCUCUUAUCCUAUAGUCUUGUCAAUAUUUCCAUUUUAUAAAUAAAAUUUUAAAAGACAGGUGUUAGGGAAAGAAGGAAUUUAAACAAUCCACAAUGUAAAUGACAAAAAUGAUUGUGUACUUCAGUACUUUCUAUCUUGUGGCCUUGGGUUGAAAUUUGCAGACUGAAAUUGGAUUUUUAUUUGGUGCAAGUGCAUAUUCUUUCCACAUGGGAAAUUUUUCAUAAAAGUGAUCCCAGUAAUUAUUAUUUUCACUUUCAUUAUUUGAAAAUGUUAGUCAUCCAGGUUCAAUCCUGGCCCCCACCACACUGAAGGAAGCUUCGAUGAUGUAGUCUCUUUCAUUCUCUCUUGCUCUUGUGUUUGCCUUGCUCUUUUCCUGUCUCUCUGUCAGAAAGAAAGAGAAAGAAAGGGAGGAAGGAAGGAAGGAAAAGAGAAAGGAAGGAAGGAAAGAUGGAAGGAAGGAAAGAUUAAUUUUGUUCAAUGUGAAUAUGGUAACAUGGCAGACUGGCAGAAAAAAGACUAAGUAGGAUUUCAGGAUGCUUGAGUUCUAAGAUUGACAUCCAUCAAGUGGCCCCAUGAUAGAUUAUUUUCAUCUUGUCAAAUUCUUCUUCUAGGUCUCAAAACUUUACAUCAGGCUCAACCUGACGCUGUUGACUGGCUACGGAAGAAGGGCAAACGCUAGAAGAAUCUUGUCAAAUAAGAAGUCUCCACUCCCAGUUUUCCACAUAACAAUUCAACCCCCACUAGGUCCUCUAGCAUCACAUUCCAGGGGUUGAAUUGUUAUAUGGAAAACUGGGAAACGUUACGCAUGUGCAAACUAUUGUAUUUUACUGUCCACUGUAAACCAUUAAUCCCUCAAUAGAGAAAGAAAAAUAAAAGUAUCUGCUCCAUGA